UCCACCUCCAUCAAUAUGCUUUUUGUUUAGCGUUGAUCUUCAAGCGGGGCCAGCUGCUGAGAUAAUCAGAUCCAUGACGCCACAUGGUGCGUUAGUUAUCAAUUCCCCAACCACUGCGUGUUCUACGCUCUUCCUCAUCUACCUUUUUAUUGCACUACAGUAUCAGUUAAUUAAGGCCAUGACUCAGAGACAUCGACAGCUUGCUCUAUCAGUUAUCUUCCCCUCCCGAGUACUAAAUUUGCGAACCUGUGAAGAUGACGGAACGAUCACCAAAGUACCGGCAGGAGAUCCAACAGGUAAGACUUUAAAUCCCUUCUGUGCUAAUUAUCUGUGAUGGCUUGGUGAAAUGUCCAAUAUGGCCUGGUCCGCCGGUUUCACGGAUGAUAUAGUCCUUCCAGUUUCGAGGAGUUGAUUCCUGAGAGGAUGCCCGGUGCCACAGCCCCUCGAGCUGAAGGACUAAUCAUCUGUGAAGAAUCCCCGUUGCGACCUACCAGAGAAGUUUAGGGGUAGGGAUCGGAUAAGGGACGGAUUAUAGAGCUAUAUUGUAAGGUGUAUUGGAGCCAUGGAGUUGGUUCACUGGCUAUUUCGUCUCUACGACCGAAGCCGGUCUAUUUUUCCCCCAAGCAGUGCGCGGAGCUACCAACUUCCAGUUGAGCCUACAAUCAUUUGCUUGGUAAUAGGCAGUUAUAAUACUUCCUUUUUCUUAUAAGCAUGGGAAAUGCGCUCAAUUGGGGCCGUGACCAUAUUAGCAAAAUUGGGAGACUUUCCCGACAUUGUUUAGACACAUUGUUGGCCACGACGUUUAUAGGAAUCGGGCCCGGACCAGGACCAAGAUCAGAGCCAAGACGAAAUUUUUCUUGAUGGGUCAAAGAAAUUAGUCGAAGUACUGCCCUCGCAGCGCGACGGGGCGUUCGUUCUAUCUCUACGGAUGAUCUCAUUUUUCUAAUUCGCCACGACAAAGCUAAAGUAUCACGGCUAAAGACUUUUUUGUCCUGGAAAGAUGUCCGAAAAAAUGUGAAAGACUCGGAUGACAAGGGUGGUGCUGAUGCAGCAGAUUUUGGGGCCGGAGACGACCCUUUGGCUGGAGCAGGUGUUGCGGGUCCAUCGGAUGUUGCGGCCAAACCGAAAAAUAAAAGGGCCAAAGUUGGUUUGCCUUGGGAUCUCAACAACCUGUAUUCAGUCCAAGUUCCUGAGCGUGAAGAUGAAGAAGACGAAGAGGAGGAGGAACAAAAUUAUGCCACUCUGCAGCGCCUCGCAAACGCAGAUGAACGGACAAAAAAUAUGACCCGCGAAGAGUAUGUUUUCUGGUCGGAUUGUCGACAGGCCUCAUUUACAUUUCGCAAAGCAAAGAGGUUUCGAGAAUGGGCAGGUUUUGGAAUCGUGACGGACUUUAGACCCAACGAUGACAUCGUCGACAUUCUUGGCUUCCUCACCUUCGAAAUUGUGCAAACAUUGACGGAAGAGGCGCUGAAGGUGAAGGAGCAGGAGGAUCGGGGUAAGAAAGGCCGUGGAGCCUCGGAUGAUGGUGAAAAGACCAAGAAGCGAAAACAAGAGACGGGGCUUUUCGACCCUCCAGAGGAGGGGAGGACUCCCAUAGAGCCAAGACACAUUCAUGAGGCGUAUCGCAAACUUCAGGCGAUUCCGAAUAAGGCGGUUGCGAUGUUAUUGCGCGGAGGACGAGCGCCGAUGCGUACUCCUUUGCGACUUAUUUGAAAUCAUUGCCCGAAAAUUGCACGACACUGAAGAUCUGUUAACACUGUAUACUAUUUUGGAGGCGUUCUUUGGAGUACGUGGUUUGCUAAGUUCUUGGGCCUCUGUGAGGUGGGAAUUAUACCCGGAAAUUUGACAUUUCUACCUUGUUUGAGAUGUGAAUUUAACUGGGUGGUGCAUUAUUCGCUAUAUAGAGCAGAUAUGUUUAAUUAUUAUCGUUAUACCCGCUUGUGAUUUACAUCAUGUUCGCUGUCUUACGAAAGACCACGAUCGGAACGUAGAUUUGCCGUGUUGAGUAUAUGGGUAUCUAACAAAACAGAGUUCCCUUGAAUGCAAUCGCCAUUACAUGUCUAUAGCCGGAAAAGCAAGAGAGAUAGUUAGCAAAAUCUACAUCCACCGUAACUCCCAUUUCAUUUUAAUCCCUUGGUGGCAUAGAUAUCAGACAACACGACCUGUAUCUCCCGCAAGAAUUUCGACACUUCCGUUUCCGUUCCAACAGUGAUCCUUAGACAUCCCUUACAGCCAUCCUCAUUCCCUCGAAACCGGACAACAACACCUUUCUUCUCGGCAAGAGCCUUAUAGACCGCCAGGGCCAUAUCAUUGCACGGCUUCCCUCCCUCUUCCGCUGGCCUAUCAAGAACCUCAACGAGCAGGAAAUUCGAAUCCAUGCCGCCUAGAAACCUUCCAAUUCCAGGGACUUUCGGCAACUCUGAAAUCAGCCUAUCCCGCUGUACUAGAAUCUUUUUCUUGUUCCUAUUCAUGAGUGCAACAUUCUCCGUCGCCAGCACAGCCUUUGCCAACGCACUGGUGGGACUGGAGAUGUUAUAUGGAGCCUUCAAACUAUUCAACAGCCGCGCGAUUUCAGGACUCGUAAACGCCGCGCCCAGUCUGAUGCCCGCAAGUCCAAAUGCUUUGCUCAGUGUCUGCAUUACAACUAAAUUAGGCCACUCCGCCACCCACUCCGCGAGACUUGAGCCCUCAGGGGCAAAGUCGAUGUAAGCUUCGUCAACCACAACCACACCAUUCCAUGUUGGGUGCUCGAGGACCUUUUGGAUAUCGUCUUUUCGGAUUAGAUUUGCUGUGGGAUUGCCGGGAGAACAAAUGUACACCAGUUUUAUGGAAGGGGUGGACGAUAAUACUUCGUUGAUGGCUUCGGGGCGGAGACGAAAGUUGUUGGAAGUGUCAAGGGGAACUUUGACGAUGCUGAUGUCGUUUAUUUGCGCACUGACUGAAUACAUGCCAUAUGUUGGCGGGCAGGUGAGGAUCUGGUCAUGGCCUGGUGUGCAGAAGCAGCGGAGAAGGGCAUCAAUGACUUCAUCUGAGCCCACGCCGACAAAAAGCCUAUCCGGAGUCAAAGUAUUUUGUGUAUGAACGUGUGUGUUUCGCAAAUUGCACAGGAGUUGUUUGAGUUCGAUUUGAUGGCUAUUGUAGAAAAAUUUUGUCAGAAUUGGAGAGGAAUUGUGAAAUAUGGGAUCGGAUGGGGAAUGCGCACGGAUCAGGAUAUCGGUUUAGACCCAAGAAGUCGAUAUCUGGGAAAGAUGAAUUCUCGCUGGCCGUCGCUGUUGCGGCCGACAAUCCCUUCUGAAUUCUUCCCUCAGAAUUCAAGACUAGACCUGGGCCAUACGCAUUCUCAUUCGCAUCUAAGAGUACGUUUGUUCCAUCGUCUUUGUAGUCACUGACUCAUUCGCAGGUUAGCUGUUUAUGAGCUUCAUGGCCUUGGAUCUGGAGGAUGAGGUUGGAUAUCUUACUCUCUUGCGCAACGAUAUGGCCGCAAUUGAAGGAUAUUAGGCCUUGCACAUUUUGAGAGGUCAAACGGGAGAUUCUUGGCUGUCAUGGUUGAUGCUGGUGGAGUUGUUAGAUAGUGAGGAAGGGGAAAAUAUUUAUUCUUAUCCGGAGUGGCGGGGUGAAGAUUGAGUUUCUGAACGCAAAUCGAUGACUCGAAGAGGGGCAGGAUAAAACACCCGUGAGGCCAAAACUAGUAAAAUGUUGAGGUCAUCAUGGAGAAAGCAAAUAUGAGAUAGGCACUCUGAUAUCUAUUUUUAUCAUCGAACAAUGGCUUACUAUGUCUAUCUUAAUAGAUUUCUAGUAUCUUUAUCCAUAUCCCAAGCUACAAACGCCAAACUCCUUCGAGUAUGCACAUUCAGGGCCAAAUUAAUAAUAACAUAUAGGUAUAUAGUCUUCAAAAAGAAAUUGCCUAGCUCACUCCUUCCGUCUCCUGUUUGGCGGAGGCGUACUUUUGUUGUUUCUCUUUCAUAUAACGCCAUCCUCUUCCGAGGCCGGCGGUGAAUAAGCUCUUUAUGCUCUGGUUUGUACUAGGCCACGAUAUGGUCUUCCUGAUGGACUUAGUUGCUUCGUCCUUGAGGUGUUCGUCAGCAGCAAUUCUUUGCUCGAAUACGCCUCCUACUCGACGAUGGACACGUUCGGGGUCUUCGUCGUUGCUUUUCUCCACCAUUUUCUCAAAUUCCACCCUCGGAAUUUGGUAUCUUGACUGGAAUUGGAAGUACAGCUUCUCACGGAAGGACUGAGGAAGUCUUCGAACCAUAUUUCCUCGUUUGAACGGGUCCAUAUCUUGAGCUAGCCAAGCGUCUACCUCCGGGUUAUCCACCCAAUCUAAGCGGGCGCAUUGUGGGUCAUUGAAAGCAACAUUUGGCAACGUCUCGAUCAAGGGAGCAUAUAAACGUCGAAAGUUGGUCAUCUGCGAGGUUACAAUGUUAUUGACCUUACGCGGAUCCUCCGAGGCAAAAGACAUCCGUGGGUCACCCAGAUAACUAAUGCCCGCGAUGGUGCUAUACAGCUGCUGUUCGGUAAAUUUCGGUGGUAGUAAAAGCAGUGCCACGCGGACUGCUGAAAGAAGGUUCACUUGAUUCGCAAGACGGACUUUUGGGUGAUCUCUAAGGAUUUUCACCGGCUUCUGAAGCCGUCCCGCGAGGUAGAGUGAGUCCCAGUCACUAAGAUCUUUACACAAUGUGUCAAUAUUAACAACCCCAUAUUUUAUAAGAGUGCCAUUCACAGUAACAUAGGGAUUGAAGUAAACGCCAGCUCCCCAUUUUUCUUGGAUCUGGGAGACAACAUAUGACCCUAGCGAUCCUAGGCCAGAAUAGUGGUCGCGAUGCUGGUUCAAAUUGAGGGCAUGCCAAUGCUGGCUAUACGAGACACCAAAUAUAAAAUCAAUCAUCUUCCCGCUGUUCCCUUGGCCUGUUUGAAUGGCUUGUGGAGCAGCCGGAUGGGAACUUUCAGCUGGAGUCGCAGAUCUGUUGGACUGCGGGAAUACGCCUGAACCGUAUGCGAAUGCAUAUCGGAUUGGAGCUUUGAACUGCCACAAUAUCUGUCGUAGUGCCUCUUUAAACUCCUCGUUGAUAAUCAUGUGCUGAUUUACUCCGAAGUUUUUAGAAGGUAGCUCCGAAAAUGUCGAGAUUGUGAAGUCCGGAUUGUCAUACCAAUUAGUGCCCGACUCAGACAGUGGAAUGGAUUGUCCGGAAUUUGAUGAGGCCGGAGAGACAUUCGAUGGCGAAUUCAAAUCUUUAUGCGCAGCAGCAUUGAAUCCAGGAAGUGGUCCGCUAUCGCGAUCAUGCGGGCUGGGGGACGACUCUGUGGAGAGAGGUCGGUAACAUUUAUGGCUGUAUUGAUCUGACGAAAGGGGUGGAAUGAAGAUGUGGAGGCGGGAUGGUGCUGUAAGUCGCGGCCGUAUCAGGAGGAACGGAAGAUGGGAUACGGCCAUGUUGGGGAGAUGAUGGGGGGGACAGCACGAGCUGUAACAGUUCAAGCGAGAGCUACCAUGGGCUUUC
rnacentral:sRNA from 1 species